CUUCUGGUGUCAGACUGUCCUGGUAGGGAGUUAGGAAAACCAGCCUUCUGCCUCUGCAUGGAUCAAACCUACUGAGUGGAGAAUUGGAGCAUUAACUGGGAAAGGAUCCUACUGCUAGAAGAAUGUCAAACACGUGACUAAAAUGGAUGGGAUACAAAUAGUUAAAAUGACCUCAUGGUGCUUGAUUGGCUGGUGAUGAUUUCCUGGUGGAAUGGCUUGUUGAAGUCCUGCUGAAAACACUUGGUCCAAUUUCUUGCCCAUCAUUAAUGAACUGCAACGUGCUGUGGGAGUUAAUACAGGGCUUGCAGAACCUCCACAACUGAUGCCUUCAAACUUGCAAAAAAGCUUGGUUUUGAGGAAUGACAGUGACUAUGUCUGCUUUUCUGGCAAUCACAUAGGAAAUGAGGUAGAGAUUGUUGCUGGAGCACAGCCUGAGAAUAUAAAAGAAAAGCUGUUUUCAACUCAAUUUGUGGAAAAGUC